UUUUAAUGUGAGAGUUCUAUAUGUGUCGGGUUAUGAUGGUGAGUUUUUAUUAAAAAAGUAAAAACUCUAUAAUAACUUGACUGCCGAUCGUUUACGAAAUCUAUCAAGAGACGAAUUUUUUCAAUCAAUAAAUCUUCAUGUGAAAUCUA
rnacentral:misc_RNA from 1 species